rnacentral:rRNA from 1 species
GCCAAAACCCUAGUCCUUUUAACAUCAACAAACAUCCAAACAAAACAAAACAAAACAUUUGACACGGUUAGUAGAGGAGAUCGAAAGCCCAAUAAGCACAACAGAAAAAGUACCGCAAGGGAACGGUUAAAGCAAAGACAAGCAAAGAAAAGCAAAGACACAACCUUGUACCUUUCGCAUCAUGGUCUAGCAAGCAAAACGCAAACAAACAGACACUUGCCACCCCGAAACCUGGUGAGCUACUUCCUAGCAGUCAAUCGGACUAAACCACCCCCUCUGUAGCAAAAGAGGAAUGGAGACUAUCAAGUAGAGGUGAAAAGCCUAUCGAACCGGGUAAUAGCUGGUUGCCAAAAAAUGAACCUAAGUUCAAUCUUAACAAACAAUUCAGCUGUAGUAUGAAAGUUAAGAAAAAUCAUUAGGGGUACAGCUCUAAUGAAACGGGAUACAACCCAAAUUUGAGAGGAAACAAACCAAUGACACCAGUAGGCCUUAAAGCAGCCCCCUAUAAAAACAGCGUCAAAGCAAUAAAACAAAAAAAUCCAACAAAAACCACACACCUCCAAAACAAACUAACGCAACUCUAUACUAAUAGAAGAUAUAAUGCUAGAACUAAUAAUAAGAACCAAUCUCAAGACAUGUUCGUCAGUCAGAAAUAGACACACUACUGAUAGUUAUCAGGCACGAGUAGGCAAACACAUUCUCAGACCUACAUCACACUGUGACCCCAACACAGGCAUGUCACAAAUGAAAGAUAAAAAGCUAUAAAAGGAACUCGGCAAUCAACGAUCUCAACUGUUUACCAAAAACAUAGCCUUUAGCAAAACAAGUAUUAAAGGUGAUGCCUGCCCAGUGAAGUUUUUUAACGGCCGCGGUACCCUAACCGUGCAAAGGUAGCAUAAUCACUUGUCCACUAAUUAUGGACUGGCAUGAAAGGCCACAUGAAGAUCAAACUGUCUCUUAUAGCCAAUCAAUGAAACUGAUCUUACAGUCCAAAAGCUGUAAUACGCCCAUAAGACGAGAAGACCCUGUGAAACUUCAAAAACUUCUAUACAACGCCACUAUAGAAUAUUUUCAGUUGGGGCGACUUUGGAAAAAACAAAACUUCCAAACAAACAGGGUGCACCGCCACAUACAGGCAAACACGCCUAUCAUACGAUCCAGUAAAUCUGACAAAUGAACCAAGCUACUCCAGGGAUAACAGCGCUAUCUUCUUCAAGAGCCCAUAUCAAAAAGAAGGCUUACGACCUCGAUGUUGGAUCAGGGCACCCAAG